rnacentral:tRNA from 1 species
UGGCUCAGUUGGUAGAGCAUGGCCCUUACAAUGCCCAAGUUGUGGGUUUGAUUCCCAC